GGAAGGCAGCAGGCGCGCAAACUUACCCUAAUCUCGAUUCGAGGAGGUAGUGACAAGAAUACCGAUGCGGGGACCCUACGGGUGCCGCGUUCGGAAUGAGUACGAUUCGAACCACCUAACGAGGAACGAUCGGAGGGCAAGUCUGGUGCCAGCAGCCGCGGUAAUUCCAGCUCCAAUAGCGUACGUUAAAGUUGCUGCAGUUAAAAAGCUCGUAGUUGAACGUUCGGGUCCGCGGGACGGGGCCGCCCCGCGAGGGACGGCGCCGCCCCGGGGGCUCGUGAUAUCUUAUCUCGCCGCCCGUCGCGAGGCGGACGGAGGGAUGGAUGAGGUUACCUGGAAAAAAUCGGGGCGAUCUAGGCGGGCGAACCUCGCCAACGAACGAUCGGACAUGGGAUAACGGAAGAGGGCGUCGGCUCGACUUCGUCGGUUCCUCGGGCCGAGGCACGUACGGUGAAUAGGGACGGUCGGGGCCGCCCGUACCGGGUCGUGAGAGGUGAAAUUCUAGGAUCGACCCGAGACGAACUGCCGCGAAAGCAUUCGGCAAGGACGC
rnacentral:rRNA from 1 species